rnacentral:lncRNA from 1 species
GUCGAGAGCGUGGGAAACCAGCAAGUUGAGAGAGGAUCCAGAAGUAACCCCUUCUAAAACGGGAAAGAUGCCUUCCGAAAGCACUUGGCCCUAAAGAGAAAACACUAGGAGGAUGGGAACCAGGGACAGAGAAGCUACUUGCUCUGCAGCUGUUUGGGCCAAUGAUCCAAUGGCCCCAUCUAGACUGGAGACACCAACUCAUGACUCAGCUGGCCUUGUGGCCCACACCCAGAAGUGGACUCAGUGCAUGAGGACUAUUUUCCACACUCCUAUGAUAGCAUCCCCAACCAAUCAGCAGGACCAUUUCCUAGCCCCUUGCCCACCAAACUAUCUUUUAAAAAACCUGGCUGGGCGCAGUGGCUCACACCUGCAAUCCCAGCACUUUGGGAGUCUGAGGUGGGUGGAUCACGAGGUCAGGAGUUCAAGACCAGCCUGGCUAAGAUGGUGAAACCCUGUCUCUACUAAAAAUACAAAAAAAAUUAGCCGGGCAUGGUGGCAGGCACCUGUAAUCCCAGCUACUUGGGAGGUUGAGGCAGAGAAUUGCUUGAACCCAGAGGCGGAGGUUACAGUGAGCCGAGAUCACUCCACUGCACUCCAGCCUGGAUAACAGAGCAAGACUCUGUCUCAAGGAAAAAAAAAAACAACCUAGCCUCCACAUUUUCAGAGAGGCUCGUUUGAGUAAUAAUAAAACUCUGGUCUCCCAUUUAGCUGGCUCUUCUUGUAUUAAACUCUUUUUCUAUUGCAAUAACCCUG